rnacentral:rRNA from 1 species
AACGAACGCUGGCGGCAUGCCUAACACAUGCAAGUCGAACGAGACCUUCGGGUCUAGUGGCGCACGGGUGCGUAACGCGUGGGAACCUGCCCUUAGGUUCGGAAUAACUCCCUGAAAGGGGUGCUAAUAUCGGAUAAUGUCCUCGGACCAAAGAUUUAUCGCCUUUGGAUGGGCCCGCGUUGGAUUAGCUAGUUGGUAGGGUAAAAGCCUACCAAGGCGACGAUCCAUAGCUGGUCUGAGAGGAUGAUCAGCCACACUGGGACUGAGACACGGCCCAGACUCCUACGGGAGGCAGCAGUGGGGAAUAUUGGACUAUGGGCGAAAGCCUGAUCCAGCAAUGCCGCGUGAGUGAUGAAGGCCUUAGGGUUGUAAAGCUCUUUUACCCGGGAUGAUAAUGACAGUACCGGGAGAAUAAGCACCGGCUAACUCCGUG